GAUGAACGCUGGCGGCGUGCUUAACACAUGCAAGUCGAACGGAAAGGCCGAAGCUUGCUUCGGUACUCGAGUGGCGAACGGGUGAGUAACACGUGGGUGAUCUGCCCUGUACUUCGGGAUAAGCUUGGGAAACUGGGUCUAAUACCGGAUAUGACGAUCUCUUGGAUGGGGUUGUGGAAAGCUUUUGCGGUAUGGGAUGAGCUCGCGGCCUAUCAGCUUGUUGGUGGGGUAAUGGCCUACCAAGGCGUCGACGGGUAGCCGGCCUGAGAGGGUGUACGGCCACAAUUGGACCUAGGUAACGGCCAGGCUUCCACGGGGGGGAGGAGGUGGGGAUAUUUGAACAAGGGCGCAAGCCUGAUGCAGCGACGCCGCGUGGGGGAUGACGGCCUUCGGGUUGUAAACUCCUUUCGCAAUCGACGAAGCCUUUUGGUGACGGUAGGUUGAGAAGAAGCACCGGCUAACUACGUG
rnacentral:rRNA from 1 species